AGAUCCGCCACAAAUAAAAAAAACUCACUGUUCAUACGGAUAGAGUCUCCCUUGUAUUUGCACGGCGUCGCACAUGUAUAAGAUACAACUACAUUAUAUACAUAUCCAAAUACAAUCACCAUAUCACAUUUAGUCAUUUACAAGAAUACAAUGUGCUAUUCAUAAAUCCACAUCUAUUAGUUUAAAACGUUUUCCAUCCGAAAACUCAUUUUGAAAGACUAAAAAUCAUGAAAACUGAAAAAUCCUUUUUAAAACUAUUUCCCACACGGAAAACUUUUCUUUAAAAAGCUACCACGAGGGUUAGAAAAUCUUUUUCACAAUUUUACGUGAAAACCGCAAAUACUUUAUUGAUUUCACAAAACUACAUGUAUCCAAAUAAAAUAAAACCAACUGAACCAUAAAUAUCUAAGUCAAUUCUUCAGAAAUAGUAAGGAUAGCAACUAAACCAAUUCAACUAAGUCGGAAGCUCUAUCAAUGUAAGGACUGAGAUUUUUGCAGUGUAGCUAAACUCUCAGUUGACGAUAUUUUUGUGUGUAAUUUAAUUACAAAAGCACUCGUCAAGUUUCGGGAGAAAUCGAGUUAAAACGGAGAUUUUACGCGAUUUUCAAGUUUCACUUAAAGUGAAUAGUAACUCGAUUUUUCCGGAGAAGCCGCGGUGAGAAGUUGGCUUCUGGCUUGUACCGGACUUUGUUCAUAGCAGUCCAAUAGCUCGUUUCGACCGGUUCAGCUGUUCUGGAACUAAUGGCACUGACGGAUUUUGAGUUUGACGCACGGAUUUCGAGAAAAUCCAAAAAUACAUGUUUUAUAUGUAUUUUUGUGUUAUUCAUUCUGUUGGAAUGAAAGGUUGGAUUUUGUCGCGAAUCCGUGGUCGAUCAAGGCGAACCAAAAUCGUAGCUUCGUUGUCUCCGAGGUGCUGAUCGCACUGGUGCAAUCCGUUCGCAAAUCUGACGGACGGAUCUACGGAGAUCGUACGUUGAUCGAGGAGAGGUCGGUGUUGGCAAAACGGUAUUUUCGCAAAAGUCGCGAUAUUUUAUGUACCGUUUCGCGUGGGAU
rnacentral:lncRNA from 1 species